ensembl:lncRNA
AUUUUUAGCACUCAUUUGAACGGCAGUAAUAGUGUAAAAUAUCAUUAAAAAUCCAAUUAACAGUGUGCAUUUGUUGCACUAGAAGCGUGAAACUCCACCCACAGACAUUGUAGUGUAUCUUAUGACUACAAUAACUUUCUUUGUGUUUCUCUCUCAGUCCAAAAGUGUGGACGGCAGUCGACUCCUACACGCAGAGUGAAGCUGAUGCUGUCGGUGAUAAUCGAGGUGGCUGGAAUCCCGUCCAACAUUCAGGUGUCCUCACACAUCCCCUGCAAACCGGGAGCAGGUUAUGGGAAUAUGUGUUCUGGGAAAUGAGGAACGGCUCUGCGUUGGUGGUCUCGAGGGGCGAUGGCCGGCUGGCCUCGAGCAGAAUACUCACACUGCUGUGACGGUGACCCUCCUCGCCUCACGUUCAGCUCAUUUAAAUGUAAACAGUCGCAGAGCUACAUUUUAUAUCACAGGCUCAGAUCCAUCUUAAUGCUGAAGCGGUCAGGCUUUGAUGGCCUCUCUGUCACGCCGUGUUUGCGCCAGCAUCUGCAUUCCAGCGGCAGACGGACGGGUCACCGCUGGGAGCGACUGACAGAGGCGCGCGCGGUCCUCCUCCACCGUCUGUCAGCGUCACCGAUCUGUUUGAAUAUGCUGCUUGAUCCGUCACUGUCAGGCCGCUCGCGCUUCUGCAUGCGCCGUACGCUCCUCUGCUGGGAAGCUGCACGCGCUGAUUUAAUGCACACUACGCAUCAGGUUGUCAGAGAGCGUCUGGGAAGGACGGGCCGUGUCGUCUGUCCUCCUGAUGGGAAUGAUGAACCCAUAGUUCACAACACCACCAACUCGUUUCUAAAACCUUGAUGUGCACUAUCUUGCACACCAGUUUAAUGCAGAGACUAUAGGACAGCCAUUCAUAGACUGAUUCCCGUGAAGUGGACUGAUGCUGCUCCACCAUUUAAAACUGAUACCAAAGCUGAUCAAACAAAUAUAUUUAUGUGAGGAUUUUAUUAUAUUUUACUUACAUUAUUUCACUUUACUUCACUUGACUAUCCAAAAAAUAUUUUUUACAUUUCUGUAUGCUAUCCAUCCACCCUUUUCCUUCUUUCCUUCCUUCUUUCUUUCCUUCCUUCCAUCAUCCAUCCAUCCAUCAUCCUUCCUUCCAUCAUCCAUCAUCCAUCCAUCCAUCCAUCCAUCCAUCCACCCACACAUAGAUGUGUCAUCACGCAAAAAUUGGUCAAAACAUGUAAUUUCCAUUGAGCCAUGCUUAAUUCCACAAGU